CCUACGGGUGGCAGCAGUAGGGGAUAUUGCACAAUGGGGGGAACCCUGAUGCAGCGACGCCGCGUGGGUGAAGGAGUGCUUCGGCAUGUAAAGCCCUAUCGGCAGGGAAGAAGCAAGACGGUACCGGACUAAGAAGCCCCUGCUAACUACGUGCCAGCAGCCGCGGUAAUACGUAGGGGGCGAGCGUUAUCCGGUUUCACUGGGUGGAAAGGGAGCGGAGACGGCCAUGCAAGCUAGGGGUGAAAGCCCGGGGCCCAACCCCGGGACUGCCCUUGGAACUGCAUGGCUGGAGUGCGGGAGGGGCAAGCGGAAUUCCUGGUGUAGCGGUGAAAUGCGUAGAUAUAAGGAAGAACACCAGUGGCGAAGGCGGAUUACUGGACGAUAACUGACGGUGAGGCGCGAAAGCGUGGGGAGCAAACAGGAUUAGAUACCCUUGUAGUC
rnacentral:rRNA from 1 species